rnacentral:rRNA from 1 species
UACGUAGGGUGCAAGCGUUGUCCGGAAUUAUUGGGCGUAAAGAGCUCGUAGGCGGUUUGUCGCGUCUGCUGUGAAACGCGAGGCUCAACCUCGCGCCUGCAGUGGGUACGGGCAGACUAGAGUGCGGUAGGGGAGAUUGGAAUUCCUGGUGUAGCGGUGGAAUGCGCAGAUAUCAGGAGGAACACCGAUGGCGAAGGCAGAUCUCUGGGCCGUAACUGACGCUGAGGAGCGAAAGCGUGGGGAGCGAACAGG